GACGUAGGGCGCGAGCGUUGUCCGGAUUUAUUGGGCGUAAAGAGCUCGUAGGCGGUUCGGUAAGUCGGGUGUGAAACCUCCAGGCUCAACCUGGAGACGCCACCCGAUACUGCUGUGACUCGAGUCCGGUAGGGGAGCGUGGAGUUCCUGGUGUAGCGGUGAAAUGCGCAGAUAUCAGGAGGAACACCAGCGGCGAAGGCGGCGCUCUGGGCCGGAACUGACGCUGAGGAGCGAAAGCGUGGGUAGCAAACAGG
rnacentral:rRNA from 1 species